GAGGCAACACCACUCUACACUCUCUAAGCAUGAAAUGAUAGGUUUUGCUAUUUUAUAAGGUUGUAGUAGGGAGAAAAUGAGAUAGUGUGAACGCGCUGUGAAAUCUGUAAAGUACGUAUAGGCAUGUUAAUUGUCACUUAUUGACAGUGAAAUUUUAUUGAGCACUUAUUAUGUAUCAUGCAUGGGGCAUGCAAAGAAAUGCUUCCAUCUUGGAGAGAUGGAGAAGGAACUCGCAACCUACUUAAAACUAAAUUGAGCAGGAAAAAAAGAGAACCACGUAUGGAUACAAAAGAGCUGCAGUAUUCUAAAGGUGUUGGGGGGAAGCUUCAAGGAACUGAGUCUUGAAGAGUAAGAAGUGUGUGCCAGAUCAAUGCACGGACUACCACAAAAGCAGAAGGAAAUCUGUCACUGCAGACCUUAUCAGAAGCCAGGAUCCGGAAGGAGGCAAUGACCUGCUCGGCCGUGUCCGUGUCCGCCGUCUCUCUAGUCAUAAAGUCGAUGAAGGACUGGAAGGUGACGGUGCCCUGUCCAUUGGGAUCCACCAGGGUCAUGAUGCGGGCAAAUUCAGCUUCGCCC